GACGAACGCUGGCGGCGUGCCUAACACAUGCAAGUCGAGCGAAUGAAGUUCCUUCGGGAACGGAUUUAGCGGCGGACGGGUGAGUAACACGUGGGCAACCUGCCUCAUAGAGGGGAAUAGCCUUCCGAAAGGGAGAUUAAUACCGCAUAAGAUUGUAGUACCGCAUGGUACAGCAAUUAAAGGAGCAAUCCGCUAUGAGAUGGGCCCGCGGCGCAUUAGCUAGUUGGUGAGGUAACGGCUCACCAAGGCGACGAUGCGUAGCCGACCUGAGAGGGUGAUCGGCCACAUUGGGACUGAGACACGGCCCAGACUCCUACGGGAGGCAGCAGUGGGGAAUAUUGCACAAUGGGGGAAACCCUGAUGCAGCAACGCCGCGUGAGUGAUGACGGCCUCGGUGUAAGACUCUGUC
rnacentral:rRNA from 1 species